rnacentral:rRNA from 1 species
CCUACGGGAGGCAGCAGUGAGGAAUAUUGGACAAUGGGCGCAAGCCUGAUCCAGCCAUGCCGCGUGCAGGAAGAAGCAUCUAUGGUGUGUAAACUGCUUUUGUACAGGAAGAAACACUCCCUCGUGAGGGAGCUUGACGGUACUGUAAGAAUAAGGAUCGGCUAACUCCGUGCCAGCAGCCGCGGUAAUACGGAGGAUCCAAGCGUUAUCCGGAAUCAUUGGGUUUAAAGGGUCCGUAGGCGGUUUGGUAAGUCAGUGGUGAAAGCCCAUCGCCCAACGGUGGAACGGCCAUUGAUACUGCUAGACUUGAAUUAUUGUGAAGUAACUAGAAUAUGUAGUGUAGCGGUGAAAUGCUUAGAGAUUACAUGGAAUACCAAUUGCGAAGGCAGGUUACUAACAAUAUAUUGACGCUGAUGGACGAAAGCGUGGGGAGCGAACAGGAUUAGAUACCCUGGUAGUCCACGCCGUAAACGAUGGAUACUAGCUGUUGGGAGUAAUCUCAGUGGCUAAGCGAAAGUGAUAAGUAUCCCACUGGGGAGUACGUUGCAAGAUGAAACUCAAAGGAUUGACGGNNGAGAGAGCGAGACGACGACGAGGGAGAGG